GUUUUUUUAAUAUAUAUAUAUUUUUAAAAUAAUUUAACCCAUCCAGAUGUGUACACUGAUACACAGCACCACUGGACACUGUAGAGAACCCACGUGUUUCAUAAAUAAAUCAUGCUAAUAUUGUCAUAUUAUGAAUUUUUUUAAAUUAUUUGAUUAUUAUUAUAUUUAGGGGGGUUUCUCCUAUUUUUAAUCAUUUAUAUUAUUAUUAUUUUUUAAUUUUAUUAUUUAAACCCAUCCAUAUGUGUACACUGAUGCAUAUGUGAGUAGUCAUUUUUUCUGAUUAUUUUUUAAGUUUUUUUUUUUAAUCUAUUUAUCUAUAUACAAAUUAUUUUAUAUAUAAUAAGUUUUGCACUUUACCAAAGAUUGGCAUUACACCAUUACUCCAUUUUAAAAAAAAGUAAGGCUUUUUUCAUUUCAAAAUGUUUCUCGUUACAUAAUUGACAUUAUUUCAUACAUGAUAUAUGAGUAUAUUAUAUAAUUGCCAAGAAGGUGCUUGCGUGAAGCUCAUUCGUGCAAGACCCUGCUCCUGAUUUUUAUCAGCUCCUCAAUCAUUGGUUUCAAUCUCCAUAUAUCUCAUGUGAGGAUGGCACCAGCAGACAUGUUGUGGCAGAUAUGGCAUGUCCAGAUAGACUUGUUUCUGGCCAGGUGAAAGCCAAGGCAGUGACUAUGGCUGAGAGACAGCCUGGUGCUGCCAUCCGCAGGUGAGGUCACUGGGUUCAGUGAGUGCACAGCACUUGGAUGAUGGUCACUGGAGACAUCUGAGGCUCUGAUGACACAAACCUGGCCAACUUCACCCACCUCUAAUGUCACGUCUCCUCUCUUCCCGGCCAGACCUCCAAAGAGGGCUUAGUGCUUGCGUGCUGUAUUCGUGUGUGUAUGCCAGACUGCUCAGAAGGAUGUAACUGGAGCGCUCUGUCAGUGCAGGGGGAGGCCAUAGUGCUGCUGCCUGUCUCUUUUGGGGUCAGAGGGGAAAUGGUGCAGGACUUACACAGCUGCCAGUUCCAACCACAGACAUGGGAGAGACUCAGCAAGCCCCUCUGUGACGGGAUGGCGAGGCCCAGCAUAAUGCUCUAUUUUGGGAGGUCAUUUUGAGCCGGACGCCCUGUCUCCCCAGGACUGCCUGUCUGCUGAUAGCCUAUCAGAUUGCUGGCUCUUAAACGAGAGACACUGCCAUUUACCAGCCGGACGCCAAGCAAACCAGUUAUCAUUAUCAGGACUCCCAACACCAGAUUAACCGCUCCCAGCUCUAAUGAGCAUUUUAAGAAAGGGUAACUUGAAGGAGUGGCAAGAAUAACAUCAAAAAACAGCAAUGGAGACUUCUGGAAUAAAACCAGAUUAAAGGGAUACUCCA
ensembl:lncRNA